AUUGAACGCUGGCGGAAUGCUUUACACAUGCAAGUCGAACGGUAGAGGGGGCAACCCCUCGAGAGUGGCGAACGGGUGAGUAAUAUAUCGGAACGUGCCCAGUCGUGGGGGAUAACGUAGCGAAAGUUACGCUAAUACCGCAUACGAUCUAAGGAUGAAAGCGGGGGAUCGCAAGACCGCGCGCGAUUGGAGCGGCCGAUAUCAGAUGAGGUAGUUGGUGGGGUAAAGGCUCACCAAGCCAACGAUCUGUAGCUGGUCUGAGAGGACGACCAGCCACGCUGGAACUGAGACACGGUCCAGACUCCUACGGGAGGCAGCAGUGGGGAAUUUUGGACAAUGGACGCAAGUCUGAUCCAGCCAUUCCGCGUGCAGGAUGAAGGCCCUCGGGUUGUAAACUGCUUUUGUACGGAACGAAAAGGUCUCUCUUAAUACGGGGGACUCAUGACGGUACCGUAAGAAUAAGCACCGGCUAACUACGUGCCAGCCGCCGCAGUAAUAC
rnacentral:rRNA from 1 species